UUGCUGGGUGAGGGGCUAAUACCGACUCUACAACAUGCACAUGACGAGCUAUUGGCUGCAAACCCACAAACAGUUCCAUACCGAGCAACUACUUAUGGCCAGGGGAGCUUGAUUUUGUUCUUUUAUGUUUGUUCUCAGGGAAGUUCAUAUGGAAGCUUCUUUCCUUUCAAAAGGAAAAUUAGUUUUUGUGUUGGUGUGCGUUGAAGGCUUUUUUUUUUUUGGAACAACUUUUCUUGAAGAAAGAAAAAACGAGGGUAGAUUUUACUUUUUGAUACAAGGAUAAUGGCAACAAAGAGGUAUAACUACUCUUCAAAGGGCAGAGGUUGCCAACAUGUAAGGCACCCCUAGUCACCUUUCUCUAGUAAGGCGACCACCACAUCAUUUGCUCCAUAAUGCCUCAGCAAACCCCAGAUAAAAAGAAUUAAAACAUCUACAAAAUUCAUCAGUAACAUCACUUGUCCCAUGGCCCGGAUUGCUUCUUCAAGUGCAAUAAGUGAUUUGUUUUGUCUUUUGACAUAUUAGAAAUUAAUUUGACUUCUAUCUGAUGUGUUUUCCUUCAAAAAUUGGCUGGAAGCGUUCUGUGCCUAUCUUUGUGUUGUUUUGCUUCCACUUAGAUGUUUAUAGUGAUUGCAAUUUGUAAGGUAUGCAACCGGAUAUGGGAAACUUGGCCCUGAGUUGGAGAGUUUAGUAGUCAAACAAGAGGACUAAGCAAGAGGCUCCUUAUGCAUUACAUGCAUUUGGAUUGCAUGAUGUGAAGAGAAUGUUGUUGAUUUUCAUAAAUGUGGACCUCAAGGUUCUCAUACGUUCUCCACUUCUAUAUGAAGGUCGAUUAGAGCUGGUUGAAAGCACAUUCUUAUGGAAGCUACAUGAUCUACAUGGUAGUGAAGUUCAUGCAUCAGACGGCGUCCAUCUUACUCCCGUAGGAUUGGAGACGGGUAUUUGUGUCAAACCUCAGCAAUAUGCCAUGCAUUGCAACGCAAUGUCAUCAGAGAUAAGAUUCUAUUCUCACAGCUAUCAAAGCCCUUCAAAAUUUUUGAAUUCGACUUUUGGAAACGGCCAGACAGUCAUGGAGAAACUGAGCUAAACAUACAGGCAACUGACGGUGGCACAGUUCAUGCCGUAAUUUCAUGGUGAUGAAUUCAUGCCAUAACUAACGUUAUCUGUAGCAGUUUCUUCAAAAUAGGUCCAUGACUAUCAUGACUUACAUCUGCAGGUGGGUGCUUCAACUUGAUUAUGAGGGGACAAUCUUCUGUUCUACAGCACCACUAUGGAUAAGUUCGCCCUUCAACACUAGGGAAGAAGUAACAUAUGCUCCUGGUGACUUUAUCCAUUUGGUGUGGUUCAAUGACCUAGAAUUGGCAUUUUGUUUUAGAAUGCCUCAGCAAAACUGAGGUGGAAAGAACAACUACAACCCGAAAUCCCAAGAAUUGGCAAUUGAUGCGAGAAGGAACUAUAAAAUACUUGGAAUCUCAUAGAAUUAUUCAUUUUUAUGAAUGAAUUGUUUAUUCAGUUAAUUUGGAAGUAGUCGUAUUUGAUGCAGACAUCAGUAGUGCACCCUUUAGAGUGUAUCAAAGGAGGAGGCGUCGCUGACAGAGUAACAAAGCAAAGGAGUUGAUGUGGAUAGACGUCGGGUCCAUUGGACCCAUUUUUUGACGUGCUACGAGUGUAGGAGUGGCAUGACUGCACACUAACAGCGGGCCCAUGGGGCAAAUUUCACACCUG